rnacentral:rRNA from 1 species
UGAAUACGAGAUGCUACGGCGUCGAAGCAGUGUAUGUCAGACUUCCAAGAAAAGCUCGCAAUGUCAUAAAUAAAGAAUGCCUGUACCAUAACCGACACAGGUGGGUAGGUAGAGUAUACUAAGGGGCGCGAGAUAACUCUCUCUAAGGAACUCGGCAAAAUAACUCCGUAACUUCGGGAGAAGGAGUGCCUUCUUUAAGAAGGUUGCAAUAACAAGAUCCAAGCAACUGUUUAUCAAAAACACAGGUCUCCGCUAAGUCGUAAGACGAUGUAUGGGGGCUGACGCCUGCCCAGUGCCAGAAGGUUAAAGAAGUUGGUUAGCUUUUGCGAAGCUGAUGACUGAAGCCCUGGUGAACGGCGGCCGUAACUAUAACGGUCCUAAGGUAGCGAAAUUCCUUGUCGGGUAAGUUCCGACCCGCACGAAAGGCGUAAUGAUUUGGAUACUGUCUCGGAGAGGGACUCGGUGAAAUAGACUUGUCUGUGAAGAUGCGGACUACCUGCACCAGGACAGAAAGACCCUAUGAAGCUUUACUGUAACUUGAAAUUGAAAUUGGACUUUAUUUGCGCAGUAUAGGUGGAAGGCGUUGAAAGUAAUCUUGCGGGAUUAGUGGAGCCAUCAGUGAGAUACCACUCCUAUAAUGUUAGAUUUCUAACUUUGGAUCAUGAUCUGGUCAAAGAACAGUUUCAGGCGGGCAGUUUGACUGGGGCGGUCGCCUCCCAAAUGGUAACGGAGGCGUACAAAGGUUUCCUCUGAACGGGUAGAAAUCGUAUCUAGAGUGUAAAGGCAUAAGGAAGCUUGACUGUGAGACCUACAAGUCGAGCAGGGACGAAAGUCGGUCUUAGUGAUCUGACGGUGCUGAGUGGAAAGGCCGUCACUCAACGGAUAAAAGUUACUCUAAGGAUAACAGGCUGAUCUCCCCCAAGAGUUCACAUCGACGGGGAGGUUUGGCACCUUGAUGUCGGCUCAUCGCAUCCUGGGGCGGUAGUACGUCCCAAGGGUUGGGCUGUUCGCCCAUGAAAGCGGUACGCGAGCUGGGUUCAGAACGUCGUGAGACAGUUCGGUCCAUAUCCGGUGUAGGCGUUAGAAUAUUGAGAGGAGCCUUCUUUAGUACGAGAGGACCGAGAAGGACAUACCUCUGGUGUACCAGUUAUCGUGCUAACGGUAAACGCUGGGUAGCUAUGUUUGGAGAGGAUAACCGCUGAAAGCAUCUAAGUGGGAAGCCCACCUCAAGAUGAGUAUUCUCAC